rnacentral:rRNA from 1 species
GUGGGGAAUAUUCCGCAAUGGACGAAAGUCUGACGGAGCAACGCCGCGUGAGUGAUGAAGGUUUUCGGACUGUAAAGCUCUGUUGUUUAGGACGAAAGUGCCUGUUGCGAACAGUUACAGGUAUUGACGGUACUAAACGAGGAAGCCACGGCUAACUACGUGCCAGCAGCCGCGGUAAUACGUAGGUGGCAAGCGUUGUCCGGAAUUAUUGGGCGUAAAGAGCAUGUAGGCGGAGAUUUAAGUCUGUUGUGAAAAUGCGGGGCUCAACCCCGUAUUGCGAUGGAAACUGAAUUGCUUGAGUGCAGGAGAGGAAAGGGGAAUUCGCAGUGUAGCGGUGAAAUGCGUAGAUAUUGGGAGGAACACCAGUGGCGAAGGCGCCUUUCUGGACUGUGUCUGACGCUGAGAUGCGAAAGCCAGGGUAGCGAACGGGAUUAGAAACCCGGGUAGUCC